GACGAACCGUGCAAACGUUAUUCGGAAUCACUGGGCAUAAAGGGCGCGUAGGCGGCUUUCUAAGUCAGGGGUGAAAUCCGGCAGCUCAACUGUCGCAGUGCCUUUGAUACUGGAGAGCUUGAGGGAGGUAGGGGUCUGUGGAACUUCCGGUGGAGCGGUGAAAUGCGUUGAUAUCGGAAGGAACGCCGGUGGCGAAAGCGACGGACUGGACCUUUUCUGACGCUGAGGCGCGAAAGCCAGGGGAGCAAACGGG
rnacentral:rRNA from 1 species